ACGGUGAAGCCAAGCUUGCUUGGUGGAUCAGUGGCGAACGGGUGAGUAACACGUGAGCAACCUGCCCUGAACUCUGGGAUAAGCGCUGGAAACGGCGUCUAAUACUGGAUAUGAGCUGCGGAGGCAUCUUCGUGGUUGGAAAGAUUUUUCGGUUUGGGAUGGGCUCGCGGCCUAUCAGCUUGUUGGUGAGGUAAUGGCUCACCAAGGCGUCGACGGGUAGCCGGCCUGAGAGGGUGACCGGCCACACUGGGACUGAGACACGGCCCAGACUCCUACGGGAGGCAGCAGUGGGGAAUAUUGCACAAUGGGCGGAAGCCUGAUGCAGCAACGCCGCGUGAGGGAUGACGGCCUUCGGGUUGUAAACCUCUUUUAGCAGGGAAGAAGCGAAAGUGACGGUACCUGCAGAAAAAGCGCCGGCUAACUACGUGCCAGCAGCCGCGGUAAUACGUAGGGCGCAAGCGUUAUCCGGAAUUAUUGGGCGUAAAGAGCUCGUAGGCGGUUUGUCGCGUCUGCUGUGAAAACCCGAGGCUCAACCUCGGGCCUGCAGUGGGUACGGGCAGACUAGAGUGCGGUAGGGGAGAUUGGAAUUCCUGGUGUAGCGGUGGAAUGCGCAGAUAUCAGGAGGAACACCGAUGGCGAAGGCAGAUCUCUGGGCCGUAACUGACGCUGAGGAGCGAAAGGGUGGGGAGCAAACAGGCUUAGAUACCCUGGUAGUCCACCCCGUAAACGUUGGGAACUAGUUGUGGGGUCCAUUCCACGGAUUCCGUGACGCAGCUAACGCAUUAAGUUCCCCGCCUGGGGAGUACGGCCGCAAGGCUAAAACUCAAAGGAAUUGACGGGGACCCGCACAAGCGGCGGAGCAUGCGGAUUAAUUCGAUGCAACGCGAAGAACCUUACCAAGGCUUGACAUACACGAGAACGCUGCAGAAAUGUAGAACUCUUUGGACACUCGUGAACAGGUGGUGCAUGGUUGUCGUCAGCUCGUGUCGUGAGAUGUUGGGUUAAGUCCCGCAACGAGCGCAACCCUCGUUCUAUGUUGCCAGCACGUAAUGGUGGGAACUCAUGGGAUACUGCCGGGGUCAACUCGGAGGAAGGUGGGGAUGACGUCAAAUCAUCAUGCCCCUUAUGUCUUGGGCUUCACGCAUGCUACAAUGGCCGGUACAAAGGGCUGCAAUACCGCGAGGUGGAGCGAAUCCCAAAAAGCCGGUCCCAGUUCGGAUUGAGGUCUGCAACUCGACCUCAUGAAGUCGGAGUCGCUAGUAAUCGCAGAUCAGCAACGCUGCGGUGAAUACGUUCCCGGGUCUUGUACACACCGCCCGUCAAGUCAUGAAAGUCGGUAACACCUGAAGCCGGUGGCCCAACCCUUGUGGAGGGAGCCGUCGAAGGUGGGAUCGGUAAUUAGGACUAAGU
rnacentral:rRNA from 1 species